CCUACGGGUCGCACCAGUGGGGAAUAUUGCACAAUGGGCGCAAGCCUGAUGCAGCCAUGCCGCGUGUGUGAAGAAGGCCUUCGGGUUGUAAAGCACUUUCAGCGGGGAGGAAGGCGGUGAGGUUAAUAACCUCAUCGAUUGACGUUACCCGCAGAAGAAGCACCGGCUAACUCCGUGCCAGCAGCCGCGGUAUACGGAGGGUGCAAGCGUUAAUCGGAAUUACUGGGCGUAAAGCGCACGCAGGCGGUCUGUCAAGUCGGAUGUGAAAUCCCCGGGCUCAACCUGGGAACUGCAUUCGAAACUGGCAGGCUAGAGUCCUGUAGAGGGGGGUAGAAUUCCAGGUGUAGCGGUGAAACGCGUAGAGAUCUGGAGGAAUACCGGUGGCGAAGGCGGCCCCCUGGACAAAGACUGACGCUCAGGUGCGAAAGCGUGGGGAGCAAACAGGAUUAGAUACCCGUGUAGUC
rnacentral:rRNA from 1 species